rnacentral:rRNA from 1 species
UACAGAGGUGGCAAGCGUUGUUCGGAUUUACUGGGCGUAAAGGGCGCGUAGGCGGCCAGCACAAGUCAGUUGUGAAAUCUCCGGGCUUAACUCGGAAAGGUCAACUGAUACUGUGCGGCUAGAGUGCAGAAGGGGCAACUGGAAUUCUCGGUGUAGCGGUGAAAUGCGUAGAUAUCGAGAGGAACACCUGCGGCGAAGGCGGGUUGCUGGGCUGACACUGACGCUGAUGCGCGAAAGCCAGGGGAGCGAACGGG